rnacentral:lncRNA from 1 species
AAUUCCGACAUUCCUCAAAGACCAUGGAAGCCAAGUAAAGCUUCUUCCUAGCCUACAUUGAAAGUGUUGCCUUGCCUUGUUGCUAUCACUGAGUACCUCUCUAACUCCCCAAACUACCUUUCGUUCAUUAAUGCACAAGUACGAUUAGUCUUCCUUGGCUCCACUAUUGUUGAUGGCCAUUUCCUAUCAUCACCAAGGUUUGCUCCAACUCCCUAAGACCUAUCCAAUUCCAAUGAUGACAUUACUCUCAUCUCUCCCCUGGCAAGCAUGUUGUUGCCACACCCAAUUGCUCAUCACGACCACUCCAACCUCCACUUUGAUGUCCAUUGUUUAUACAUUAAAAGCUCCAAGGUUUGCUCCAACCCCUGUCAUAUUGUUUAUACAUUAAAAGCUUGCAUGAUUGAAUUGACUGAAACAAGGUAUUGAAGUACCAUCUAUGUACCAGAGAAUAGAAAGGAAGAAAAUAUAACUGGAUAAUGUGGAAAAGUACUUCUUGUUCACACAACCUUCUUUAUAUUUUUCACUUUUGCACAAACACCUCAUUCACUUGUUUGCCAAUGGUGCAAUUCAAAUUGGGCCCUCUACUGUGGAAGAGCAUGCCUCUGCCACUGCGCCAACCAGCCAGAGAGCAUAAUCCCCAUGUCUUUGCAUUCUUUUCUUAUUAUUGAACAAAGGUUUUAUUAGUGCAUGUAUGACCUCAAUUUUAGAUGACGAAUGCACAGAAGACAUCACCAAGCCACAUAUGGGCAGCCUUUAAUCCAAAUUAUUUAAAAAAUAGAUUGUUUUUCUGAAAUAUCACCUGAGCAUGUUCCACCUGUUUUAUCAUGACUUACUGGUAAAGUUACUAUAGAAAUUAAUAGCACCUGUUCAUUGAUCAAGACUCCAUAAACAUGUAAGCUUCUUUGUUUCUUCCACACGCGAUAUCAUGCAAUUUUGUAAUUUCUACCAACAAGGGUACAUAACUCUUCCUCAAAUUCUCCUAAAUUCCAUCUUUUAAACAUAUUUUGAUCGCCAUUUUUCAAUGAUCUGCCAAAUGGAAGGGUAUGGACAGUUGGCAACAUGAUUAAUCAAAAAAAGUCUCUCAGUUAGCAAUCCAAAGUCCAAAGAAAGGCAUGUUUUUUAAUGUAAACUUAAUUUUGUAAACUACAAAACAUAUGCACAUCUAUGUUACUCAGAUCCUUCAAUUAAGUCCAAUGAACCCACAUGGCCACACCCAACACUAAAACACAAAUACUGGUAUGAGUGUAUGACACUUGGACAUGGCUCCAUAAGAAUGAGUUCUUAUUGGAAGUAUCCGAUGCUUAGACAUGCACUGCACACUUCACACUUGUCCAAAUCCAUCUAACAUAGAUGUACAUCCAGCACUUGUAUAAUUUCAUAUAUCUUUACCUCUAAAUUAGAGAAGAAAUGUCAGAAGUUUAAUACUGUCCAGCCAAGUCUCAUGUUGCAGAUACAGCGAAGAUUACUAGAAAAAGUUACAUGAGGGUAUGCCAUUUUGAUUUAUCUAUUAACAACAGGAAGCUAAGGCCACAGCAUGACAUGAUUUCUCUAAAACAGCCAACGCAUAGAAGAUGCAAUAAAACAACAAACCUCUUGCAAGCUACCAAUUUCACGAGAGCCUGUUUACUUUCUCCUGCUUCCGUGUAAGAAAAAUUCACCUGCAGAGAAACCAUUUUAAGUGUAAUACAACAAAAAUGAG